rnacentral:rRNA from 1 species
AUUGAACGCUGGCGGCAGGCUUAACACAUGCAAGUCGAGCGGAGAUGAGGUGCUUGCACCUUAUCUUAGCGGCGGACGGGUGAGUAAUGCUUAGGAAUCUGCCUAUUAGUGGGGGACAACAUUCCGAAAGGAAUGCUAAUACCGCAUACGCCCUACGGGGGAAAGCAGGGGAUCUUCGGACCGUGCGCUAAUAGAUGAGCCGAAGUCGGAUUAGCUAGUUGGUGGGGUAAAGGCCUACCAAGGCGACGAUCUGUAGCGGGUCUGAGAGGAUGCUCGGCCACACUGGGACUGCGACACGGCCCAGACUCAUACGGGAGGCAGCAGUGGGGAAUAUUGGACAAGGGGCGGAAGCCUGAUCCAGCCAUGCCGCGUGUGUGAAGAAGGCCUUUUGGUUGUAAAGCACUUUAAGCGAGGAGGAGGCUACUUAGAUUAAUACUCUAGGAUAGUGGACGUUACUCGCAGAAUAAGCACCGGCUAACUCUGUGCCAGCCGCCGCAGUAAAAC